rnacentral:misc_RNA from 1 species
GAUGAAGAACGCAGCGAAAUGCGAUAAGUAAUGUGAAUUGCAGAAUUCAGUGAAUCAUCGAAUCUUUGAACGCACAUUGCGCCCGCCAGUAUUCUGGCGGGCAUGCCUGUUCGAGCGUCAUUUCAACCAUCAAGCCCCAGGCUUGUGUUGGGGACCUGCGGCUGCCGCAGGCCCUGAAAACCGGUGGCGGGCUCGCUGUCACACCGGGCGUAGUAGAUUUUAUCUCGCUCAGGGCGUGCUGCGGGUUCCGGCCGUUAAAAAGCCUUUUUUACCCAAGGUUGACCUCGGAUCAGGUAGGAAGACCCGCUGAACUUAAGCAUAUCAAUAAGCGGAGGA